ensembl:lncRNA
AUCCUCCUUCUGCAGUUCCACCUGUUGAGCUCUAUUCAGAUCGGAGCCAUCCUGGGACCACAAAGAGAGCUGGGUAAGAGCAGGUGUGGACACAGCAUGGACUCUUUAUUUAGUUCAGCUGAACUUUUUCUGGCCACGGAGGGAAGGAAGAGAGGCUCAGAAGAAAGGGUUCAAUCACCUGGGACUUGCACCGAUUAGCCAUUUCCCUAGCUUCUCCAUUCUGCUUGUCACAGAAGAAGAAGGCACUUGUUGAUGGAGUGCCCUUUGUCAAAGGAAGCUUUCUGAAGCUCAGGCUUCUCCUGAAGUACAUGGUUCAGAU